AGAAAGUAUUGAAAAUAUAGGGUUAAGAGAUAAAAAGAGAGUUUUUAAGAGCGGAAAAAUUUUGUUAGAUAGAAAAGGUUGAUAAACUUUAGGGCAAUAUUGUUUUAUUGAUCUCUUUUUGGUGAUUUUUUGAGAUUUUCUUGGUGAUAAAUCAAGAUUCUAGUUAUCUGGUGUUAAGUUGUGUUAAAAUUGAGUUGUUUUUGAAGUCUGCUAGUCCAUUAAGCGGCUGAAAUUGUGUUUGGAUCGUUUGCAUCUCAUCUGGUUUAAAAUUGAUCUGUUGGUUCACUUUUUGGGUUUGCUGGGCUCCAAUGCUUUUACUUGUGCUGAUUUCUUCCCGUAUCGAUUUGUUCGACAUGUUUCACGGUUAUUUUUCCAUCUUCUUCAUGCUUAUCUUUCACCGAGUCGUAUGUCGAAGUUGUUUGUGGAGUUUGGUUAAGAUACCUGUCAAUUCAAAUCUCAUGAUUUGUAGUCGUCAUUGGUGUUUGUCCGGAUUAAAGUUUGAUGCCGGAACCUAUUUGUAAUUUCAAUCUUCAACAAAUCAACUGAAAAAUCAAUUCAGGUUCAUCUAUAUUCCCAUUUUUUCUUAACGUUUUUUUUAACUCCGUGGUAAUAAGCAUAAUUUGUUCUUAAUCUGUUUUUCUUCAGUAACUAUGACGAUUAAGUCUUUUGAUUUAGUUUUGAUUAUAAACUGUUUCUGAAUUUCAAUAAUUUCAAUAUUUUUGGUUUGAUAGGUUUUAUUCUAGUCUUGAUUUGAUUUGAUUUUAUUUUAUUUAUAUUUAGUAUUAAUUUAGAUUGGUUAAGUAUUGGUUGGAUUUCCUAUUUGCUUGAUUCGUCUAAUUUGGUGUUUCAAAUCUGUUUUGGGUGUGGUUUGAUUUUGUUUGAAUGAAUCAAUAUUUCUGUUGGUUUAUUUAGUUUAGUUUUACUUGUUCAUUCAAUUUAGUGUUCAUUUGAAAUUCAAUUAGGUUUGAGGUUUGGUUAUAGCUGAUACGUUCUUGGUGUAGAUUGAAAGGGAUGAGGAUAUAACCGUAAUUUUAGUAGUUUGGGAGGGAUAUUUUUGGAAUUGAAAAAAUAAAGAAUUGUUUAAUACAUGGUGGGGGACAAGACAAAAUUUAGUGAGAGAUGAGACAUAAUUAUUAAAGUAAAAGGGUGGGGACUGUGGGGUCCAUGUUUGACUACUUUUUGCUUUAAUAAUAAAAGCUGGAAAGUAAAAGUAAAAGGAGUGGGGUAAUAAUAAAAGGGAUAGUAAUAAUAAUUAAAGGGGAGGAAAAAAAGAGUUUUGCUUUGGUGAUGUAAUAAGAGUCAUUUUACACUUAAAGUGGAAACUGGAAUUUAGAGAGAAAUUAUUUUUUUAGUACUAGAGGGAAGAAAGAAAAAAAACUUUGGAUCUUAAGAAUUUUUGAGUUUUGAAAGCUAGAAACUAAAGAAAAAAUCUGUUCUUAUUCACUGUUAACAAUUAGCAUCAACUGCUAUUGUUCAUUAAAGCUUCAAGCUUCUUUUUCUUGAGUGAUAAAAAUCAGAAGUUAUUUUUGGCAACUGGAUACUUCUUUGUCGGUCUGUCUCCUAGAUUUCCUGUUAUUCCCGCUGUUACUGGGUUACUCAUGUGUUGUUGAACUGUUGUUGCUAUGUGUGUCAUUAAAGCUUCAAGCUUCUUUUUCUGAAUUUUUGAGUUUUGAAAGUUAGAAACUAAAGAAAAAAUCUGUUCUUAUUCACUGUUAACAAUUAGCAUCAACUGCUAUUGUUCAUUAAAGCUUCAAGCUUCUUUUUCUUGAGUGAUAAAAAUCAGAAGUUAUUUUUGGCAACUGGAUACUUCUUUAUUGGUCUGUCUCCUGGUUUUCUGUUAUUCCCGCUGUUAAUGGGUUAAUCAUGUGUUGCUGAACUGCUGUUGCUGUGUGCGUACUACUAUUGCUUCCUACCGAUCUUCAUCUUCUUUGUAUUUCAAUACCAGGUAAACCACUUUGAAUCACUUUGAUGUACGCCUUGAAGAUGAAAUAAAAUGGCAUAAAUUUAUGUACUAGUUAUAGUACAUUUGUUUUUAGUUAAACAAUAGUUAUAUAUAUUUUCCGGCUAUGCAUUAGUUAAUCCUUGAAUCUUGUUAGUAAUAAAAGAUCUACAAUAUUUGGCAAAUAUAAUAGGCCAGCAAUUUCGUAGAAUGAACAUGCUUGAUGUUUAAUGUGUGAUUCAACAUAGCAAGGCUAAGAAUAUUAAUCCAUUAGGUGCGAGUUUGAGCAAUAUGAGUUAACGUUUAAGUUUAAUAAACUUUUUUAUAAGCUAUAGUAAUUAUGGUUAAAUUUAGUUUCAAAUGGUUGCGAAUAAUUAAUUCCAAGGAAGUUUGGAUUUGAAAAAAAAAGUCAAAUUUGAAAAACAAAAAAAAAAGCAAAAGAAAAAAAGUCUGAAUUUGGCAAAAAAUUAAGAAAGUCUAGAUUCCAGAAAUGGACCUAGUCUGAGAAUUAUCUCCUAGAGUCAAAAUCUCAGGAGAGGAAUUUUAUAUCUUAGGAGAUUUCUCCUACAAUAAUUUGAAAAGAGGGGAAGGCAUAAUUUGAAGAGAGGAAUGGAGAAUUUUAUUUUCAAAGAUGCUGUUGAAGUCAGGAGCUCACCUGAAGAGAGGAAUGGCGAUUUUAUUUUUCAAAGUUGUUGAUUACAAUCAGGAGUACGCUUAUUGAAUGGAGGUUGUUACAUUUAAAUUAAAGAAGUUAGGAGCCACCUAUUAGGACGGAGGAAUAUUUUCAAAGUCAAGUCAGAAGUCGACGAUGCAUAGGGUCACAACAAAAUAGCCCAGCAUAACAAGUUUUGAUAAGGGAAGCAGUAUCUCCAGUAGACGAAAUAGAAUGAUGAAAUUUGAUUAGAAAAAGCGAAAGCCCAGUGUCAUCCCCAGCAGUUUUCGGAAGAAAGAAGCACCGGAAGAAACACAAGCAGACAAAAAAGCAAGGCAUCAAGAACAAGAUGAAGAUAGAUAAGAUCUUGUAAUUCGUAGUCUAGCCUAGCUUCUUGAUUUUUCUUUUAGCACGAUGUAAUAAGGAGAUCGGUAAGCAGUAGUAGCAGCAUGCUACAGCAGUAAUGGAAAAAUUGCAGUCCCCUGGUAGUCCCAGCUACCAAAACUUCCCGAACUAUAUUGACCUGAUUCCCUUUUAGCCAGGGAUAUGUAGGAAACCUUUGAAGCAAAGGUUUGGUCAAAUCUUUCAAAAAAUGCUUCACACGGAGUACUUCAACGGGCAAAAAUCGCUCGUAUCAGCUCACUUUAUCUUUGCAUGAAAACUCUUCGUGCAUUUAGACAAAGAGGGGCAGCUGUGACCACGUGAUUUUUGCCCUAUAUAUGAAUUACUCCCAAAAAAUUCAAAAUAAAAUAAUUUUUUUCUUUGCAAUUGUUGUGAAUUUUGUGUAUCUUAGAUUUGUUUGUGCAUGUUUAUUUGUUAAAUUACUAAAAAAUACAAAAAUAUAUCGUGUUUGUAUUUAGGAUUUAAUUCUACAAUUAGUAGUAAUUAAGUUUGUUAUACAAAAAAUGAAAAUCACAAAAUAGACAUCUUUUACAUUGAACGUCAAAUUGUGCAAUUUUAUUUUUAUUGGUGUUUAAUUGUGUAUGAUAAUUGUCGUUAGAGGUUAAUUAGCAUUUUUUGAGUUAAUUUAGAUUAUAAUUUAAUUUAUAAUUUUAGUUUAAUUAAUCAAUUAAAAGAAAAGAGAGCAAAAAAUAAGAAGAAUAAACUCGGAUUGGGCCAAUUUUCGGAAUUAAAAUUAGACCCAAAACACUUCUACCUAACCCAAAAAUAUACCCAAUCCAAUAACCCAUAACCCGACCCAACAUUUUCUUCUUUAGCCGCAACANNNNNNNNNNNNNNNNNNNNNNNNNNNNNNNNNNNNNNNNNNNNNNNNNAUACUCUUCUUCUUCACAUCCAAACAACCACCACUGUUCAUCUUCUUCUCAUGAAGAUGAAGAAGAAAACAAACCCAGCUUGCCAAACGACCUCCGCCACCCCCAACCAGACAGUUCGUCGUCGACCACGCCUGAACCCCACGUCCAGCAGCCAUAGCCAUGCCGUAGUUACAACCAGUCCGGUCGUCCCCCCUCAGUCAAGCUCCACGCUAUCCCGUUCUCCAGUCCGUCGACCACGCCAAACGACCUCCAUCUCCGUUCGUAGAACACCACCAAACAACCACUUCUUCAUCAUCUUCGCCUUCUCCACGACGCCACCAACUGCUCCACUGCCGCUUCCUCCAGUCCACCGGCUUCCUUCACAAACACCAACGACAACCACCAUGAACGACCAGCUUCUUCUUCCUCUUUUUCAUCUUCACAAUGUCCGUUUAACCUCGAAAAGUUCGGGUGUGAGUUCAAGUUUGAGUUCGUCUUGUUUCGGAUUUUUAUGAUGUAUUUUUCCUCUCCUUUUUGUUCUAUUUUUUAUAUUGUUAUUUGUUUUGUUUAGUUGUAUUUCAGUUUUUAUUCAUCGUUUGUUUGAUUGUCACGGGUUAUAAUUAUUGAGUCGUUUAAAUAAAUUCGUCGAUUAGUCCGUUCAUGUUUGUAGUUUGUGUUUUUCGUCAAAUGGUUUGAUGUCGAAUGUGUUAUGUGUUAAUCCUUAGUCAUUUAACUGUUUUUCGUCAAAUGGUUUGAUGUCAAUAAAUUCGUCGAUUAGUCCGUUCAUGUUUGUAGUUUGUGUUUUUCGUCAAAUGGUUUGAUGUCGAAUGUGUUAUGUGUUAAUCCGUAGUCAUUUAACUCACUGUCAGUAAGCAUACAUUUUGUAUAGUUUAGAUUUAGAAUGUUGAUAAGAUUCACUCCAUGUUCUGUUUGUGCAUCGUACUAUUUUAGUUUUUUCUUGUUAUUCACCAUAUUGGUGUUCUCCUAGCGUAUUCAUUUGUCUAAAUGUCAGCUUAUUCCCUUUGAUGUGAUGUUGUAAGAUUCCGUCUGUUUUCAUGAAUUUGUUGAUGGAAUUUGAUUAGAAUUGGUUAUAGUUGUUGUAUUUUGAUUAAUUGAUUAGGUGAAUUGGUUAUAGCUGGUUUAUAAUUUAAUUUAUAAUUUUAGUUUUAUUAAUUAAUUAAAAGAAAAGAGAGAAAAAAAUAAGAAGAACAAGCUCGGAUUGGGCCAAUUUUCGGAGUUAAAAUUAGACCAAAAACACUUCUACCCAACCCAAAACAAUACCUAGUCCAAUAACUCAUAACCCGACCCAUGCCCCAUACAAUAAGCAAAAGAAAAACCUAGACCUAACAUUUUCUUCUUCAGCUGCAACACACAACCCCCCCCCCCCCNNNNNNNNNNNNNNNNNNNNNNNNNNNNNNNNNNNNNNNNNNNNNNNNNNNNNNNNNNNNNNNNNNNNNNNNNNNNNNNNNNNNNNNNNNNNNNNNNNNNNNNNNNNNNNNNNNNNNNNNNNNNNNNNNNNNNNNNNNNNNNNNNNNNNNNNNNNNNNNNNNNNNNNNNNNNNNNNNNNNNNNNNNNNNNNNNNNNNNNNNNNNNNNNNNNNNNNNNNNNNNNNNNNNNNNNNNNNNNNNNNNNNNNNNNNNNNNNNNNNNNNNNNNNNNNNNNNNNNNNNNNNNNNNNNNNNNNNNNNNNNNNCCCCCAUACUCUUCUUCUUCACGUCCAAACAACCACCACUGUUCAUCUUAUUCUCCAUGAAGAUGAAGAAAUCAAACCCAGCUCGCCAAACGACCUCCGUUACCCCCAACUAGACAGUUCGUCGUCGACCACACCUGAACCCCACGUCCAGCAGCCAUAGCCACGCCGGAGUUACAACCAGUCCGGUCGUCCCCCUCAGUCAAGCUCCACGCUAUCCCGUUCUCCAGUCCGUCGACCACGCCAAACGACCUCCAUCUUCGUUCGUAAAACACCAGCAAACAACCACUUCUUCAUCAUCUUCGUCUUCUCCACGAUGCCACCAACUGCUCUACCAUCGCUUCCUCCAGUCCUACGGCUUCCUUCACAAACACCAAUGACAACCACCAUGAACGACCAACUUCUUAUUCGUCUUUUUCAUCUUCACAAUCAGUCUGUUUAACCUCGAAAAGUUCAGGUGUGAGUUCGAGUUUGAGUUCGUCUUGUUUCGGAUUUUUAUGAUGUAUUUUUCCUCUCCUUUUUGUUCUAUUUUUUAUAUUGUUAUUUUUUGUGUUUAGUUGUAUUUCAGUUUUUGUUCAUCGUUUGUUUGAUUGUCACGGGUUAUAUUAUUGAGUCGUUUAAAUAAAUUCAUCGAUUAGUCCGUUCAUGUUUGUAGUUUGUGUUUUUCGUCAAAUGGUUUGAUGUUGAAUGUGUUGUGUGUUAAUCCUUAGUCAUUUAACUCACUGUCAGUAAGCAUACAUUUUUCAUAGUUUAGAUUUAGAAUGUUGAUAAGAUUCACUCUGUGUUCUGUUUGUGCAUCGUACUUGUUUAGUUUUUUCUUAUUAUUCACCAUAUUGGUGUUCUCCUAGCGUAUUCAUUUUGUCUAAAUGUCAGCUUAUUCCCUUUGAUUUGAUGUUGUAAGAUUCCAUCUGUUUUCAUGAAUUUGUUGAUGGAAUUUGAUUAGGAAUUGGUUAUAGUUGUUGUAUUUUGAUUAAUUGAUUAAGUGAAUUGGUUAUAGCUGGUAAUCUGAUUUUAGUUCUUAGAUAAUAUUUGAAGUUUGAACAGAUUUUUAGGACAAUAAUUUCAGUAGUUUCAGGGGGUAAUGUGAGAGUUGAAAAUAUAAGAAAUUAUUUAAAAUAUAGUGGGGAACAUAAUUAUGUAAAGUAAAAAGAGGGGACAAGACAUGUGGGGAACAUACUGAUGUAAAGUAAAAAGAGGGUGGACUGUGGGAUCCACGUUUGAUUGCUUUUGCUGAUUGGUAAUUAGAAAUAGUAGGUAAUAAUAAAAGAGAAGGAAUAAUAAUUAAAGGAUAGGAGAAAAGAUUCUUGCUUUUGGUAUAUAAUAGGAGUCAUUUUUUACUUAAAAAGAAGAGAGGAUUUGAGAGAGAGAAAAUAUUUCAAUACUAGAGGGAAAUAAAAAUUUCAAAACUUAAAAUUCCGUCUUUGAGAAUUAAAAACUUAAAGUGAAGUCUUUAUUUACUGCUAAAAAUCAUAACACUAUAACUGCUUCUAUGGUUUGCAUUUGGCACUACUGAUUUUCAGAUUUAAUUCUUAGGUUCCUGCUUAGGUUUCUGAUGUGGAAUCAUCUCUGUUGGUUUUAAAAUCUGUCCCUGGGUGUUCAAUUUGCUACUGCUGUUGCUGUUUGCUAUUGUUGCUUUGCUACUGCUGAUCCUUUUCUUCUCCUAUC
rnacentral:lncRNA from 1 species